rfam:Schistosoma rodhaini strain Burundi genome assembly, scaffold: SROB_scaffold0003658
AUCCAGCUGAGCAGUCCCGAAUAGGACGAAACGCGCGUCGUGGAU